rnacentral:rRNA from 1 species
CCCUUAGAUGUUCUGGGCCGCACGCGCGCUACACUGACGAAUGCAACGAGCUUAUAACCUUGGCCGAAAGGUCUGGGUAAUCUCCAAAUUUCGUCGUGAUGGGGAUAGAUUAUUGCAAUUAUUAAUCUUCAACGAGGAAUGCCUAGUAAGCGCAAGUCAUCAGCUUGCGUUGAUUACGUCCCUGCCCUUUGUACACACCGCCCGUCGCUCCUACCGAUUGAAUGGUCCGGUGAAGCGCUCGGACCGCGGCCUCUUGACGGUUCGCUGUCGAGUGGCUGUGGGAAGUUCGUUAAACCUUAUCAUUUAGAGGAAGGAGAAGUCGUAACA